rnacentral:tRNA from 1 species
GGUGAGUUGGCCGAGAGGCUGAAGGCACUCGCCUGCUAAGCGAGUAUAGGGAUUAAACCUCUAUCGAGAGUUCGAAUCUCUCACUCACCGCCA